rnacentral:pre_miRNA from 1 species
AAUGCAGGAUAAUUAUCGGAUACUAUCCUGAUGCGUAUCGGGAAGUAUCGGAUAAUUAUUUUUUAAA